CAUAAGUCUUUACACCAGCAGCUAUGAGAUUAGUGUGAAUCACUCCAGAUUCAUUUCCUUGAGAUGAACAUUGAACUACAAAAGGCACAAACACCCUGCAGCUGAGAGUUUUGAAUUUACUGCAUAUUAACAGUCCUUUCUUUAUUGAGAAUCCAGAGCUGCAAUGUCCAAAGCCUUUUCUUUUGAUUUGUUUGCCAGAUUUGUAAAAUCCUAAUCAGCUUUUGGAAACAAAUCACCUGCACUGAUUUCAGUUUAUUGGUUAACAAUUUGUUUUAUUGAUUCUUUUGUGUGCAGAAUUAGAAUUUGGCUUGACCAAGGGGUAGCAAGUUGUGACUGUUGAAUCAAUGCUCACCUGCCGCAGUUGAAACUGGAUGAACACCAUCUUUGAUUAUCAACAUUGUCCAAGAAUCAGUGACUGUUUGACCAAAGUNGUUUAAACCACAAGCUGCAUUACAUCGGUUUUGCAGAGAAUUUAAGGCCAUUGAAUUCACUUACUAUUUUGCUGAUUUAAUAAUAAUUCUGCCAUCCUUGCUGAAAUUGUUGUGUUAUUCUUUUGUGCAGAUUGUUAUGGACAAAUUGAAAGUAAUGCAAUCUUGUCAAGUAUAGUUAAAAUUUGGUUUGAUUAGAAUUGAAAAGNCUUGAACAGCAGAUUGCAAUUUGAGAAGCAAAUUGGAUCCAUCUUCCACAACAAUUACAGUCAAACCGAGAAAGGAAGAGUGGAAUCCAAAAGCUAGGCGAUUCCAAAGUUGUCCAAAGCUGUCNAACAAUUGGAUUUAAAUGAAAUCAGAACGUGACAGUAGCAAUUGUUAGCUUUCUUUUGUAAUUGUUUUGUUCAUUUUGGUUAGGUUUUCUGUGUUAGAUUUCUUUAAAUUGUAAAAGGCCAUUCAAAGUCCAAGUUGUCUUGGAAGAGUCCUUGGUGCUCUUUCAACUCUUGGCAAAACUUUUCUUGUGUGUU
rnacentral:lncRNA from 1 species